AUGUAGUAAACAAAAAAUCUCUACAUGUAAACAGAUAACUCCAUCAAAAUUCAGUAUAAGUGUUUUAGGCCACCCAAGGAAAAUUUUUAUGAUUUAUCUCUGUUACUAUUUAUACAAAUUUUUGUUUGCAGCUCUACAUUAGUCGAAAUUCAAGAUGGACGAGGGAAAUAGUAGAAGGUCUCUGUCCCCCUACCAUGAAAAAUGUUUUCCACCUUAUUGUGACAAUGCUCAGCAAAUCGACAAAGCAGUGGUCUCCAAGAUGGACAGAGGAGAUUUGGAAGACAAAUAUAUAGUUUUUGCUGAUGAAAACUUAGAACUGAAAAAGCAAAAUAGAAAUCAAGAACGACAAAUUC